CACGCCAUAAGAUUAGCCCAAGUGGGAUUAGCUAGUUGUGAGGUAAUGGCUCACCAAGGCGACGAUCCCUAGCUGGUUUGAGAGGAUGAUCACCACACUGGGACUGAGACACGGCCCAGACUCCUACGGGAGCAGCAGUGGGGAAUAUUGCACAAUGGGCGCAAGCCUGAUGCAGCCAUGCCGCGUGUGUGAAGAAGGCCUUCGGGUUGUAAAGCACUUUCAGUAAGGAGGAAAGGUUAAGUGUUAAUAGCACUUAGCUGUGACGUUACUUACAGAAGAAGCACCGGCUAACUCCGUGCCAGCAGCCGCGGUAAUACGGAGGGUGCGAGCGUUAAUCGGAAUUACUGGGCGUAAAGCGUACGCAGGCGGUUUGUUAAGCGAGAUGUGAAAGCCCCGGGCUCAACCUGGGAACUGCAUUUCGAACUGGCAAACUAGAGUGUGAUAGAGGGUGGUAGAAUUUCA
rnacentral:rRNA from 1 species